GAAUCUGACAACGUUGACAGUGCUUCAUUUUCCGUUUUUAGCAAGAUGUCCUCAUGACGCUCUUAAAAUUUUUCUGAUUUUUUGUUAGAAAAAGUGAUUAUUCUGGAUAAUAUUUGAGUGUAUUGUGUUCCCUAAGGCCUGUUUAAUCUCCUGAAAAUGAGCGUUAUUAAUAAUACACACCAGCACAUAAAGACCAUUUAAAAGAAGAGACUGGGGCCACCCCUUGUAUAAUCCUGAUGUUUAGCUAUCAUUCUGGUUUAUGAGUUGUUUUUCUAUUAUCUGGCUAAAAAUUAUCUACAACAAAUCAAUAAAUGUAUACAGUUCCAAGGCAGUACAUUUAUCCUUUUUACAAAUAUUAUCAGCAAUGGUAUCAGGACUUAUAAGUAUAUCUAAAAUUUUACAUCUUUUGGGUAAAUAUAUACUGGUUUUUAAUGGUUUUCAUUGGAUUUCAUGAUUUCUAAAUUUCUAAAGUAGGAAAAAAUUCCAAUGAGUCUCUGAGUUACAUUUUUAUGGUUCCUUAUUGUCAUGGGAAAAUUCAGAACAUCUAUUUUUAAUUUGGACCAAUUUUUCGCUUUUUAUUCUUCGAUCACUCCUUAUUUCUUUUGGGAGAAUAUCAUCUAUUUAGAACUUUUCGUUUCAUGUUGUUUUUGGUUACCUUUCCUUUCUCUAUAAUAGCUUGAUUUUUCAUUGAUUCCAAAAGAUAUUUCAUUGAUUGUAUAUUUCUAUAAGUCUUCUUUUACUUGUAUUAUUUUUCUGAUGGUGUUAUUUAAUAGCUUUUGCUUGUGUAAUUCCUUGUACAAAAUUUCAGUUUUGAUGGAUUCAUUUCCAUGUCAUUUUUUCAGAUCAUAUGCCAUGAAUUUCUGCCAUUUUACUUAUUCUAUUGCUUUAGUUUGUGUGUGUUAAAAUAUAAUUUAAACACACUUAAAAAUCUGAGGACUAAUUUCUGACCAAUUCCUGGCGCAUUCGCCAUUUAUUUAAAAACCUGACUAGGUCACAGGAUAUCACUUCUACUUUUCCUAGCAUUUUUCCAAUUAAUUUUCCUGAGUAACAUCGACUCCAGAGCAUCAUAACUAGCUUCCCCAAAGAGGAGGAGACCCGGAUCACCCCCUAACCCGGUUGUUCGGGCAUCGAUGACCUAUGUAGCAUGCACAGGUACCCAAGGGAGUCACCACCCUCUGGUUUACGAGCUAGGUGUUCUAACGCUAGAGGCUUCGGCCGGAUACGACCUGGCACCCAAGCUCCGAGACUUCUUCGUGCACGUAUUCCGUGACCCUCGAAGAGGCAGGGGGCGGGAUAUCGGACACAUUGAAGAUGAUGAGGGGGGUCCGCCUGUAGGGGGUCCCGGUGGAUGUCCGCUCGAUGGGUGACGAGGGUGACCCGAGACGAGGCUGCUUAGCUGGGAUGGGAACUGACUGGCGAGGCUUAAUCGUCGGACAAGGGUUAAAUCUGAUGAAGGGGGGCGACCUUAUAUGCUCUGGAGGAUUUUUUCUUGAUGUUCUUGAUGUCAAAUUUUGACUAGAUAUUGCUGAGAGCAUAUCUUUUUGUCCAUGUUCCAGUUCUUAUUCACUACAUACCUCUUUAUUUUUUUUAAUAUCAUCUAAAACCAUUCUCCAUCUUGCUUUUGGCCUACCUCUAUUUCACUGUUUUUGUCUGCCAUAUUUUCUUUAUUAUUGGAAUAUUAUCAUUCAUCAAUUCUAUAAACUAUCCCAAUGAUUGCUAUAUAUACAUAUUUAUAUUAUUUUAGUUAUUCUUGUGAGACGUUUCUAAGACCUAUUUUCUUGAUUCUAUUGCCUGUAUAAAAUGACAGCUAUUUUUUAAUCAUUUUCAUGUCAUUUUUCAAUCCAUAAUAUUUCUACUUCAUUAUUUGUCUCUCAUAUUUUCUUUAUUAUUGGAAAUAUCACCUUUUAUACAUUCUAUAAACUCUUCUAUUGCUUGUCUUAUUUGUGUUAUUCCUUUAUGCUUCAGACUUUGUAUCCUUUUUUAUGUCAGACUUUUCUAAGACAUAGUAUUUUCACAUUUCUAUUGCCUGUAUAGAAUAAUGGCUUAUUUUUAUUCACUUCCUAGACUUCCAAGCCUUUGAUUAUGUUGCUUUUGAUGCCUACAUGGGAUUGUUUAGUUCUGGAUUUUUUUCUAAUUGAUUUUCUUUUAAUUCCUUUUAUAAUUGAGUUUUUGAAUGGGGUAUUGUACUGCUUUGGAACCAGGAUUUUUUGGGACAGCUGCACAGGAGGAAGCUAAAUAAUUUUAGGACCAAGACUUUUCCAGAGGGGUAGCCAGAAAAUUCAUUUACCACCACAUAGACAUCAGCAUGUCCAUCAACACCUUGG
rnacentral:lncRNA from 1 species